CUGACGUGAAAUCACCGGGCUUAACCUGGGAAUUGCGUUGGAGACUGCAAGGCUAGAGUCCGGCAGAGGGGGGUAGAAUUCCACGUGUAGCAGUGAAAUGCGUAGAGAUGUGGAGGAACACCGAUGGCGAAGGCAGCCCCCUGGGUCGAGAUUGACGCUCAUGCACGAAAGCGUGGGGAGCAAACAG
rnacentral:rRNA from 1 species